GCAGCGAACGGGUGAGUAACGCGUGGGUGAUCUUCCUUCGAGUGGGGAACAACAUCGGGAAACUGGUGCUAAUUCCGCAUAAUACCCUGGGGCUACGAGCCUCAGGAUCAAAGCCGGGGACCGCAAGGCCUGGCGCUUGAAGAUGAGCCCGCGUCCGAUUAGCUAGUUGGCGGGGUAAUGGCCCACCAAGGCUUCGAUCGGUAGCCGGCCUGAGAGGGCGGACGGCCACACUGGAACUGAGACACGGUCCAGACUCCUACGGGAGGCAGCAGUGGGGAAUUUUUCGCAAUGGGCGCAAGCCUGACGAAGCAACGCCGCGUGGAGGAUGAAGGUCUUCGGAUUGUAAACUCCUGUCGACCGGGACGAAUGCACUCGACCUAAUACGUCGGAAUGUUGACGGUACCGGUGGAGGAAGCCACGGCUAACUCUGUGCCAGCAGCCGCGGUAAUACAGAGGUGGCAAGCGUUGUUCGGAAUUACUGGGCGUAAAGGGCGCGUAGGCGGCCCCAUAAGUCUCGUGUGAAAGCCCUCGGCUUAACUGAGGAUCUGCACGGGAUACUGUAGGGCUCGAGUUCGGGAGAGGAAAGCGGAAUUCCGGGUGUAGCGGUGAAAUGCGUAGAUAUCCGGAGGAACACCAGUGGCGAAGGCGGCUUUCUGGACCGACACUGACGCUGAGGCGCGAACGCUAGGGGAGCAAACGGGAUUAGAUACCCCGGUAGUCCUAGCUGUAAACGAUGAUCGCUGGGUGUGGGGGGGGUUUUACUCCCCCCGUGCCGAAGCUAACGCAUUAAGCGAUCCGCCUGGGGGAGUACGGUCGCAAGGCUGAAA
rnacentral:rRNA from 1 species